rnacentral:piRNA from 1 species
UUGAACUCAGAAAUCCACCUGCCUCUGCCUC